rnacentral:rRNA from 1 species
UACGGAGGGUGCAAGCAUUAAUCGGAUUUAUUGGGCGUAAAGGGCGCGUAGGCGGCGUGAUAAGUCAGAUGUGAAAUCCCGGGGCUCAACCUCGGAACGGCAUUUGAAACUAUCACACUAGAGGGUAGGCGGAGAAAACGGAAUUCCACAAGUAGCGGUGAAAUGCGUAGAUAUGUGGAAGAACACCGGUGGCGAAGGCGGUUUUCUAGCUUAUUCCUGACGCUGAGGCGCGAAAGCAAGGGGAUCAAACAGG